rnacentral:ncRNA from 1 species
AAGCGCCAGAGCUGCCGUGCAGGGCAUGCUGACGAGGUGGAAGUGAUCGAAAAUUCGGCGGAUGCUUCCCGCCCGGCCAGACACGCGGGCGAUGGCGUUUCUACAAAUCCUGCGGGAAACCACAGGCACAGAAGGAA